AGUGAACGCUGGCGGUAGGCCUAACACAUGCAAGUCGAACGGCAGCACAGUAAGAGCUUGCUCUUACGGGUGGCGAGUGGCGGACGGGUGAGGAAUACAUCGGAAUCUACUUUUUCGGGGGGGAUAACGUAGGGAAACUUACGCUAAUACCGCAUACGACCUACGGGUGAAAGCAGGGGAUAUUCGGACCUUGCGCGAUUCAAUGAGCCGAUGUCGGAUUAGCUAGUUGGCGGGGUAAAGGCCCACCAAGGCGACGAUCCGUAGCUGGUCUGAGAGGAUGAUCAGCCACACUGGAACUGAGACACGGUCCAGACUCCUACGGGAGGCAGCAGUGGGGAAUAUUCGACAAUGGGCGCAAGCCUGAUCCAGCCAUACCGCGUGGGUGAAGAAGGCCUUCGGGUUGUAAAGCCCUUUUGUUGGGAAAGAAAAGCAGCAGGUUAAUACCCCGCUGUUCUGACGGUACCCAAAGAAUAAGCACCGGCUAACUUCGUG
rnacentral:rRNA from 1 species